rnacentral:rRNA from 1 species
UACAGAGGUCUCAAGCGUUGUUCGGAUUCAUUGGGCGUAAAGGGUGUGUAGGUGGCGCGCUAAGUCGGGUGUGAAAUUUCGGAGCUUAACUCCGAAACUGCAUUCGAUACUGGCGUGCUUGAGGACUGGAGAGGAGACUGGAAUUCAUGGUGUAGCAGUGAAAUGCGUAGAGAUCAUGAGGAAGACCAGUGGCGAAGGCGGCUCUCUGGGACGGUACUGACGCUGAGACGCGAAAGCGUGGGGAGCGAACAGG